AAAGAAAAAUGUUCUUUCUAGGGUUUAAUAAAUGCUUCACAAUGAGUUUUUUUUUUUAAGUAGGCCUUAAUACCUAAUCACUUGCAUUCGGUGGCUAGAUUUGAGUGGAUAAGAACACCUACCAAAGUACAACUUCCAAUUUUUAUUUCAGAAGGAAACCAUCCUUGAGAGAUGAGAAAAUAACUUACUUUAAGCUUUAUUCAUUUUUGUAUUUGGCUGCCAUAAAAUAUCUUUUACUAAGUAGCUUUAGGGUUUUUUUUUUAAUCUAAUCCUGAUUAAAUUAAAAGAAAAACCUGGUAAGUUAAUUGUAAGCUUUCCCAUAAAAGAGAGAAGCACAAAAUGCCAUGGAAUAUAUCCAAGAAACAUAACAUAAACAUGAGACUUACAAUGCACAAUUUAAAAUUUCAUAUGUUGUCAAAUGAUAAAUGUCUGUUCCAGCUAUGAAUACUUUAACUUCAAAAAUCUUUCAUAGCCUUAAAAAAGAACUCUCACAGAAACAGAAGCUGGAAUGUUAUUUGUGAACUAGGCCUUGCACCUUGUCAAUAUUUUUAGUUCUUAAAUUUCUGGAAUGUUCUAAAGACAUAAAACAUCUACUUCAUUUUGAAAUUUUGAUUUUAACAUUUCACUAACAACACUGGGAAAGGAUCAUCUUAACUAAAGGUGUCAAGACUAACGUUUGAGCUUAGCCGUUGAACUUUCUCUUAGGGGAAACAGUUUAAUCCCCAAGUACUAUGAGAUAGGCGUUUUAAGGCAACUUUUUAAAAAGGAAAAUAAAUCUGCUUUUUGCCGUCUAGGAAAGAUACAUUUUUCCUUGUGGAAAUCUGCAGUCUGAAAAGACAGAUAUGAAAAGCAUGAACUGUUGAAAAUAACCUAAAUGUUCUUUGAAAAUUUAAAGGCCAGCUUAUCCUGCAAUGGUGAUAGAAUAGUCGGCUUACAACACGCAAAGCCGAGCCGCGGGUGGGCAGGCGCCGCCCGUGGCUCGCGGAGUGGAUGCACUCGAGGGCGCGGCCGCUGCGCUUGGGGAACUUUCAGGGCGCCAAGUACGGGUAGCGCUUCUGAUGGAUUCCCGGGUCUGGGAGGAUCCGAUUAUCCCGGGGCCGGGUGACACGCACAAAGCUGAGGUUAGAGUUGGCCAGGAAGGGAGGACCUGGUGAGCCGGUGGAACAAAAGCGGGAAGGCCUUUCCUUCUAGGAGCAAAACCAGCGACGCGUCCCGGACGCCCGGGGACCCCUGUGGGUCUCGGUUUCCUUCGCUGUGACCCUGACAUGUUUCCCUCCACCGGCCCGAGGAAACCGUCGCUUCCAGCCUCCAGGUACCGUCACCUCUGCGGGGCUGCGAGCGGAGGACCGGGACAGAGAAGGAGCCGGCGGUCCUGGCCAGCCGCGCGGCUCAAAACCCGACGGCGCGGGGACUCCGGGCCUGGGGCCUCCAUGGCUGUGGCCUCCUUAUCUCCCGGGCCGGCUGCUCCCUACGCUGCGGGGCUGAGGGCACUGGGGACCCAGGGGCUUCUCUGGCACUAGCGAGGACCUAACCUUGAGUGAAGAACGAUGUCAAGUGAAAGUGAAGAAUAACGGGGGUGGGCGCGAAGAGAAUGGUCUUGGGGCGCGCUUGCGCCUCUACCCGAGGACCGAGGUGGGGAUUCGACAGACGCCAGCGGUGGGGAUCCGGGGCGAGAAGCCCCGACUUUCUGAGUCGUGAGCCGCCUCCAGUCGCCCCAGGACGUAACCCCGAGGAGCUUUCAGACACUGGCCGCGCCUAAUAUCGCUGAGAACCGCGAAAACCGGAGUUCCGGCCGCCUCCCGGACUGGCGUCCCGAGGCCAGGGGACCCGCUUGGGGCUCCCGGCCGAGCCCCGACCUCGGACGUUUUUCCGGGAGCCGCGAGAGGCCUGGGGGCCUGGGCCAGGCGCCGCGGCGGGCAUCGAUCGCCGGCUCCCAGAGAGUGGCCCCGCGCAGGUGGAGGUGACCCCGUCACCUCCAGGAGCGCCCCCAAGCCCCGGUACCCGCAGCGUGCGCCCUCUCCUCCUCCCCGAAGGUGUUAUCUUAGGAGCCAAGCAUCUCCUUUGGUCCUGCGCUCCUUCGCCUAGCGCCUGGUGCCCCCCACCCGGCUGCAUCCGAGGCUUGCGCGGCCCGGUCCCAUCAGCCGAGCGUCGCCCGCCCAGGAGGAGGCUCGGGUUCUCCGCAGAAGCGAAUACUUUCUCUUUUUGUUUUAAGUUAGAACCUUGCUUUUGCAGUGAUUCGUUGCUGUGGCGUGAUUUUAAACAGGUGAGAAAUCGGAGUCUCAUUUUCCCAGGGGGGCUUCCAAUGAGGAUUUUAAGAGAAGCGUGCAAAGAAGACAGCAAUGUCCAUCUUUUUUUUUUCUUGUUUUCUUUUGAACAGAGGGAACCCCCACGCGCUGAGAUAGUUAUGUUUUUAAGGCUAAACUUUUUUAAAAUUAGUUUUUCUUUUACACUUAUGGCUGACUUUUGAUCCUUUUAAAGAAAGGAUGAAGUCAAAACAGAUUAAUGCUUUUGAAUACACAACGUCCCCACGUCCCCAAAUUGUGGUGCUGGGAUAGUUCCUCUAAGAUGCAUUCUGAUUUUGAAGUUCAAGGUCUCUAAGCGCUGUUAAGCGGAACCAUGAAAAAUACGUUGCUACAUUAAAGAUAAAACAGACGGUGAUACUGACUGCAGAAUCGUAGUAGAAACUUUUUUUUUUUUUUUGAGGCUGUGCAGGAUUUGCCUUGGUUUUAUUAGGGAACCUGCUAAUAGAAGCAAUUUCAAGUGACGGGCUUCCCUCAGUAAAAAGCUGGAAGCAAUGACAUCUUUUCUAUCUGAGUGACUCUCCUUAGUCGUGGUAAAUAAAUAAAUAAAUAAAUAAAUAGAUAGAUAGAUAGAUAAAUAAAUAAAUAAAUAAAAAUUAGUUUACAUGCAGUGUUUGAAAAGAAAAUGAUUUUGCUUCCCAAGUUUUUAUGUGUUUUCUUUUUUACCAACUAUAUUUCACUUUAUUUACAAUUGUCAGUUUAUUCUCACACCUUCUGGUUAGUUUUAUCUUCUCACCAUGGUCUGUUAGAACCCCAUCCUCGAGCAAAAAAACAAAAACAAAAACCACCCCCCCAAAACAAACAAACAAACAAACAAAACAGGUGUUCAUCCCUGUGAGAUGCUAAUGCCCCUGGAACUGUUUGAAAAGAGCAAAAUUUUGUAAGGAGAUUCUUUUCAAAAAGUGUUAGAGAAGUAUUCUUCAAAAACAUCUUAGAAUGUUUCCUUAAAAAAUUUCCUUUCUUGGUUUUCAUUAAUUGCCUUUGAUUAAAAUUAGGUUACAAACAUAUCUUAAUUUCAGACUGUUUCUUUAUAAAAGAAAGGAGAAAGUAAAUAGGUGUUGGCAAGGACUAAACCAAUGCAACUAGGCCCUGUUGAGAGCCUAAAUCUGUAAACUGGUACCCUUAAAAAACAUCAAUCAACUUGAGGUUCGUACAGGUAGUUCUUUGACUCAAACAGUUGAUUUUUAAAAGUCUUAUAAAAUAGGUUAAAAUGUGUUUUUAGUCCAGGUUCCUACUUCUUUGUUAUGCAUUUCUCCUCGUAGAUAAAUAAAUGAAUCUAACUUGAUGAGUAGGUAGAUUUUUCUCCAGAAGAACUUUCUAAAAAUGGGCAAAGUUAGGGAAGUGAUUAAUACCCUUCAGUUUAAUUGGAAUUAUUCAGUGCUUAUACCAAGUUAAUCCUAUUAAGAUGCUAUUUCCUGCUCAGGGGGAUAAAUUAAGCACAACUUAGAUUAUUUUAGGUGGACAACUGGUAUAUAGUCUAAGCAAUGGGGGCUGGAAAAAAGUAUCUCUUCUCCAAAAAAUAUAGAUUAUGUACCAGUAAUGUUCAAAGUACUUUGAGGAAGUGUAUUGAUGGGAUGAAUAUAAAUCAUAGUGACUGUUGUUAAGGGGUUUACGGAUUAUAAAGAGCAAUUGAGCUUCCUUUAUUUUCUCUUAUUUAGAAAACAAACAUUCAUAAGAAAAAAAUAAAAUUAGAUCCCUUCUUUUGCCCACAUACAAAUUCAGUUUCAGAUCAAUUAAAAAGUUAAAUAAGAAAAAUAGAAUUAAAAAAAUAUUGGAAGGCUGGGCGCAGUGGCUCACGCCUGUAAUCCCAGCACUUUGGGAGGCCAAGGCGGGCAGAUCACGAGGUCAGGAGAUUGAGACCAUCUUGGCCAACAUGGGGAAACCCUAUCUCUAGUAAAAAUACAAAAAUUAGCUGGUUGUGGUGGCACAUGCCUGUAAUCCCAGCUACUCGGGAGGCUGAGGCAGGAGAAUCGCUUGAACCUGGGAGGCAGCGAUUGCAGUGAGCCGAGAUCGCGCCACUGCACUCUAGCCUGGCAGCAGAGUUAUCUCUGUAACUCUCCAUCUCAAAAAAAAACAAAAAAAAUUGAAAGGAAAUAUAGAAUUUGUAGUAUGAAAGGAUUUCUUAAACAAAACAUUAAAAUACACAAUCCAUUAAGGAAAUGAUCAAUUGGAUGACAGUCAUGCUCCAAAUAAUGAUAUGUUAGUCAAUACAUGAUAAUAGUCCCAUAAGGUUAUAAUAUUGUAUAUUUACUGUACCUUUUCUAUGUGUAGAUGUGUCUAAUUAUACAAAUACCAUUGUGUUACAAUUGCCUACAGUAUUCAAUACAGUCACAUGCUGUACAGGUUUGCAGCCUAGGAGCAAUAGGCUUGUACCAUAUACAAACCAUCUAGGUUUGUGUAAUUACACUCUAUGAUGUUAGCAUGACAAAACUGCCUAUGGACCUAUUUCUCAGAAUAUGUCCCUGUAGUUGAGUGCCAUGUGACUGUAUAUAAAAAUUUUUAAAAAUACUUUUUACAUGACAAAAGAUAUCAUAAAAUGUUACAAGAUAAACUGAGAAGAUAUUUUCAAGGCAUGUACUUGGUGAAGGAUUCAUAUUCAAAAUGUAUAAAUAACUUAUAUAGAAAGAAUUUACUAAUUUAUGUAUAAUGAAUUUCAUAAAUAAAAGAUGUGGGCCAGGAUAUAUACAUAUGAAGUGAAAGUAUAGUACUAUCAAUAGGAUGAAUACAUAUCAACUUCAAAAAAUGUAAUUUCCUUUGGGAUAGAAAGAAAGAAGGAAGGAGGGGGAAUAGGAAGAGGGCAACAACUUCCUGCCCAGGGGGCAACAACUCUUUUUUUUUUUUUUUUUGAGACAGAGUCUUGCUUUUGUCCCCCAGGCUUGAGUACAAUGACUCGAUCUCGGCUCACUGCAACCUCCGCCUCUCGGGUUCAAAUGAUUCUCCUGCCUCUGCCUCCCAAGUAGCCAGUUAAGGCACCUGCCACCAUGCCCGUCUAAUUUUUGUGUUUUUUAGUAGAGACGGAGUUUCACCAUUUUGGCCAGGCUGGUCUCGAACUCCUGACCUCAGUUGAUCCGCCCACCUCAGCCUCCCAAAGUGCUGGGAUUACAGGCAUGAGCCACUGCGCCCAGCCCACAGCAAUUCUUUAUAAAAAGAUCAGAGGCAACUAUGGGAAGACAUUAACACUUUUUGUUCUUUGUAGAUUGUUAAAAGCUUGUUAUAAUUUAUUUAAAAAUCUCUAACAUCAAUUCCUAGUCUAAAGAAUGAACAAAUGACACAUUUCUUUUCCUUAGUCAAUAAUAAUCUUGUAAGAUGGUGUUCACGUGCUUUUCUUUGAGGGCAAAGAAAACACCAUUCCCCAGUGUUUUUCCUGGGCAGUGUUUGAAUAUUAUAUGAUACUCACAGCAGAGAUUUUCCUAGUUUGGCUUCUGUUGUAAGCUUGUUUUCUGAGUAGAUUUAAAUGAGAAGAACAGAAACAUAUUUGAAACUAUGACUAUGUAUAAGAGCAUUUAUUCUCCUAUAAUGAAAUCGUGGAAAAUGUUUUUAAAAAGUGAGCAAACAAAAACCUCCACACCAUUAUAGAAACACGGUUAAAAAACUAUUGAAUAAUCUCAAGCCUAGUGUGUAAUAAUUAUUAAGUGUGUCUAAUUUGUUGUGCUAAGUGUCAGGAAUUGGUAUUGUGGAAGGAUAUGUGAGAUCUCAUUUUCUCCUUUUAUAUGGCAGGAGUUUAUACAGUAUUUACAUCUGUCAUUGAUACUUUUUAUGAACAGAAGUUUUGUUUACUUAUAACUUCCACAGGGAUUAUUCAUAUGGAGCACUGGAAAGAUGUAACAUUUCAUUUGCUUUGAUACCUUGUGUUUAUUUUAGGUCGAAAAGCAUCAUGAAGCCAAGUGGUUAUUGUUUUGCUUAUUCAGUGUGAACUGAGUGAGCCAGGUUUGUAUACCAAGUGAUUCUCGUGGUGGACAAUACCAAUAUGAUUAUGCCAAAUGCAUUGCUUCUGAGGCAUCACUCUUUGGGCACAUAUAGACCCUGCUGAUUUCUGCCAAAGCACUCUUCUUAAAGUUCCAAAACAUUACCCCAAAACCUCUAUAGCCCCCUAUUGCCAACAAAAUUAAAGCCUUUCUCUUCAUUGGCAUUAGAAGCCCCUGUAACCCAUUGCUUUUCCAUUUCCAGCCUCUUUCCAAAAUUACCAAACAAACUCUGUAUCCUGCAGCCACCAAACUGUACUAGUUGUAAUAUAUUCACUAAGAACA
rnacentral:lncRNA from 1 species